rnacentral:rRNA from 1 species
AGAGUUUGAUCCUGGCUCAGGACGAACGCUGGCGGCGUGCUUAACACAUGCAAGUCGAGCGAGGCCCUCCUUCGGGGGGUGCCCUAGCGGCGAACGGGUGAGUAACACGUGGGCAACCUGCCCUCAGCUCUGGGAUAACUCCAAGAAAUUGGUGCUAAUACCGGAUGUGACCGCUGACCGCAUGGUCUGGUGGUGGAAAGAUUUAUCGGCUGAGGAUGGGCCCGCGGCCUAUCAGCUUGUUGGUGGGGUCACGGCCCACCAAGGCGACGACGGGUAGCCGGCCUGAGAGGGUGACCGGCCACACUGGGACUGAGACACGGCCCAGACUCCUACGGGAGGCAGCAGUGGGGAAUAUUGCGCAAUGGGCGAAAGCCUGACGCAGCGACGCCGCGUGAGGGAUGACGGCCUUCGGGUUGUAAACCUCUUUCAGUAGGGACGAAGCGCAAGUGACGGUACCUACAGAAGAAGCACCGGCCAACUACGUGCCAGCAGCCGCGGUAAUACGUAGGGUGCAAGCGUUGUCCGGAAUUAUUGGGCGUAAAGAGCUCGUAGGCGGUCUGUCACGUCGGCUGUGAAAACCCGAGGCUCAACCUCGGGCCUGCAGUCGAUACGGGCAAACUAGAGUGUUGCAGGGGAGACUGGAAUUCCUGGUGUAGCGGUGAAAUGCGCAGAUAUCAGGAGGAACACCGGUGGCGAAGGCGGGUCUCUGGGCAACAACUGACGCUGAGGAGCGAAAGCGUGGGGAGCGAACAGGAUUAGAUACCCUAGUAGUCC